rnacentral:rRNA from 1 species
UUGCUUUCUCCGCCGGCGACCGGCGCACGGGUGAGUAACACGUAUGCAACCUGCCCCUGUCAGGGGGACAACCCGCCGAAAGGCGGGCUAAACCCGCGUACAUGCCACCGGGGCAUCCCGGAGGCAGGAAAGGCUUCGGCCGGACAGGGAUGGGCAUGCGGCGCAUUAGGCAGUAGGCGGGGUAACGGCCCACCUAACCGACGAUGCGUAGGGGUUCUGAGAGGAAGGUCCCCCACCACUGGUACUGAGACACGGACCAGACUCCUACGGGAGGCAGCAG